rnacentral:rRNA from 1 species
UACGUAGGGUGCGAGCGUUAAUCGGAAUUACUGGGCGUAAAGCGUGCGCAGGCGGUUUUGUAAGCCAGAUGUGAAAUCCCCGGGCUCAACCUGGGAAUGGCAUUUGGGACUGCAAGGCUGGAGUGCGGCAGAGGAGACUGGAAUUCCUGGUGUAGCAGUGAAAUGCGUAGAUAUCAGGAGGAACACCGAUGGCGAAGGCAGGUCUCUGGGCCACUACUGACGCUGAGAAGCGAAAGCAUGGGGAGCGAACAGG